GAUGAACGCUGGCGGCGUGCCUAAUACAUGCAAGUCGAGCGAACGGACGAGAAGCUUGCUUUUCUGAUGUUAGCGGCGGACGGGUGAGUAACACGUGGAUAACCUACCUAUAAGACUGGGAUAACUUCGGGAAACCGGAGCUAAUACCGGAUAAUAUUUUGAACCGCAUGGUUCAAAAGUGAAAGACGGUCUUGCUGUCACUUAUAGAUGGAUCCGCGCUGCAUUAGCUAGUUGGUAAGGUAACGGCUUACCAAGGCUACGAUGCAUAGCCGACCUGAGAGGGUGAUCGGCCACACUGGAACUGAGACACGGUCCAGACUCCUACGGGAGGCAGCAGUAGGGAAUCUUCCGCAAUGGGCGAAAGCCUGACGGAGCAACGCCGCGUGAGUGAUGAAGGUCUUCGGAUCGUAAAACUCUGUUAUUAGGGAAGAACAUAUGUGUAAGUAACUGUGAACAUCUUGACGGUACCUAAUCAGAAAGCCACGGCUAACUACGUG
rnacentral:rRNA from 1 species